rnacentral:rRNA from 1 species
AGCGAACGUUUGCGGCGGGCCUAACACAUGCAAGUCGAACGCACUAGCAAUAGUGAGUGGCGCACGGGUGCGUAACACGUGGGUAAUCAACCCUUCAGCCUGGGAUAACGACUCGAAAGGGUCGCUAAUACCGGAUACGGCGCGAGAGGCUUCGGCUUCUCACGAGAAAGCCACGCAAGGGGCACUGAAGGACGAGCCUGCGGCCCAUCAGCUAGUUGGUGAGGUAAGAGCUCACCAAGGCUAAGACGGGUAGCUGGUCUGAGAGGAUGAUCAGCCGCACUGGAACUGAGACACGGUCCAGACUCCUACGGGAGGCAGCAGUGGGGAAUAUUGCGCAAUGGGCGAAAGCCUGACGCAGCCACGCCGCGUGAGCGAUGAAGGCCUUCGGUCGUAAGACUCUGUGGGAGGAGACGAAGAAAGACCUGUGAAGAGCAGGCCUUGACGGUAGUCUCCUUAGUC